UACGGAGGGGGCUAGCGUUGUUCGGAAUUACUGGGCGUAAAGCGCGCGUAGGCGGCUUUGUAAGUUAGAGGUGAAAGCCCGGAGCUCAACUCCGGAAUUGCCUUUAAGACUGCAUCGCUAGAAUCAUGGAGAGGUGAGUGGAAUUCCGAGUGUAGAGGUGAAAUUCGUAGAUAUUCGGAAGAACACCAGUGGCGAAGGCGGCUCACUGGACCGGCAUUGACGCUGAGGUGCGAAAGCGUGGGGAGCAAACAGGG
rnacentral:rRNA from 1 species